CCAUUUAUGUAAUUUUACCUAUUCUUUUAUCAUCGUUCUCUCCUCUACCCCUCUCUCUCUCUCUCUCUCUCUCUCUGCUUUCUCUGUGUUGUAAGCUAAGUAACAAUGGAAAGUGCAAUUCCGUCUUCUCGCUCUAAUCGCAAGCGUCCUUAUUUAGAACAAGAUUUAGAAUUCGAUGAUGACUCCUCCAGCAAACCUCCAAAGCAGAAGAAAGUGAGGUUUCCCAAGGGUAAAAAGGUAAAACCCGGUGAUGAAGCACCAAUUGCUAUAACCAAAGUACUCGAAGAAGAAGAUGGGCAAAAUCCACGUCUAGCUGCCAAGGAGCGUGCAAAGCGAAGAAAUUUAAUCACCGCUGAGCUUUUUAGUGAAGAGCUUAAUGAUGUUUCUACUGCUGAAGUCACUUAUCAGGAUAAUGAGAGUUUUGUUGAAGAUGGGAUCCAAAUAGAACCAUUUAACCUUGAAAAAGAAAGGGAGGAAGGUUAUUUUGAUGAAGCUGGAAAUUUUGUGGAAUAUGUCAAUGAGAAUGAAGUCAAGGAUGCGUGGCUUGAUAGUGUUGCAGUUGAUCCAAGAUAUGCUGGAAAAAGCUCAAAGGUAACAACAAAUGAAGAUGAUACCAAAGAUGAUGUCAUUGAGCUUUCUUCUGAAGAUCUUGGAAUGAUAAAAAAGCGUAUUUCCAGCUUACUUGAGCCAGGAGAAACGGUGUUGCAAGCCUUGAGAAGGUUGAAAGGUGGCUCAAAUAAGAGGAAAGAGAAGAUGUCGCCUCAGACACAGCUUCUGUUUGACCAGCUAACUGAAGAUGCGAACAAGCUGUUGGAUCAUGGUGAAUACAAUGUUUACCAUGACAAGCAAGAGGUCUUCAAGCGUGAGGCAGAUGGAUACGAAAAGUUAGCUUUGGCUAGGGGGAAGGGCACAUCUCUAGGCACAAGCAUGGGGAAGGACCUGUUCUCUGAUGUAACAGAUCUUGGAGCUACCUCCUCAAAACUGUCGAACUCUGUUUUGGGUGCUUCAAAUACAAAUUUAUCUACAGCAGAAACCACGAGCAAUGGUGCAGAUGAGUAUGACAUGUUUGCAGAUGAUGAUGAUAAUGCUAUUGCUAGACCAUCCUCUGAUGGCAGUAAUUUGGUUUCUGACUCUAAUUCUAGUGGAGUCGGUCAACCAUUGACUGGUGGCCCAACCUCUAAUUCUGAAACUGGAGCUUUGCAAGAUGAUUAUGUGUAUGAUGAGACAUCUGGGAAUUCAAGGAUGCAGCAGAACCCUAUGAACAUACCUAUAUUAUUCGUGUUUUAGGUUUUAUACUUCACUUAAAAGUCAUGUUGACAUUGGUUUUCCUGUAUUCAUCCAGGUAUUACUACAGCGGCAGUUCAGGUUACUAUUAUGAUCCAUCUACAGGACUGUACUGCUAUGCAACAUCAGGCCAAUGGUACUCGUACAAUCAGGAAACCGGCGCAUACGAUGAAAUCCAUGAUAUAUCAAAUGCAAACUGAAGAAACAGUUUUGUUGCUCACUUGAGGAGUUUGUACAGGCUACCAAGAAAAGGUUGUGAUAUGACAAAAUGGAUAUGAGAUAGCUUUGAUCUAGGUACCUUUCUUGCAGUUAAAGAACUAACCCUUGCAUUAAAUCUUGGCGAUACAAAUAUUUAAUUAGCACUAUACAAUUUUGUAUGCUAUAUCUUUUUGUGUUUAUCCAACAGUUGUAAUAAAGCACCAUGUUUAGAAAGAAAUGUGAAGGUUUUCUAGGAUGCAAA